UACAGAGGGGGCAAGCGUUGUUCGGAAUUACUGGGCGUAAAGGGCGCGUAGGCGGCCUUCUAAGUCAUGCGUGAAAUCCCCGGGCUCAACCCGGGAACUGCGUCUGAUACUGGAAGGCUUGAAUCCGGGAGAGGGAUGCGGAAUUCUAGGUGUAGCGGUGAAAUGCGUAGAUAUCUGGAGGAACACCGGUGGCGAAGGCGGCAUCCUGGACCGGUAUUGACGCUGAGGCGCGAAAGCCAGGGGAGCAAACGGG
rnacentral:rRNA from 1 species